ACCUACGGGGGGCAGCAGUGGGGAAUAUUGCACAAUGGGGGAAACCCUGAUGCAGCGACGCCGCGUGAAGGAAGAAGUAUUUCGGUAUGUAAACUUCUAUCAGCAGGGAAGAAAAUGACGGUACCUGACUAAGAAGCCCCGGCUAACUACGUGCCAGCAGCCGCGGUAAUACGUAGGUGGCAAGCGUUAUCCGGAAUUACUGGGUGUAAAGGGUGUGUAGGCGGGUUUGCAAGUCAGAUGUGAAAAUUAUGGGCUCAACCCAUAAACU
rnacentral:rRNA from 1 species